GUGCUCACUUUGGCAGCACAUAUACUAA
rnacentral:snRNA from 1 species